AACAGCAGUGAUGCAGCAGCAGAUGUCUCUCUGAUAAAAGAUAUAUUCUUCUGUUAUUUCAUGCCAAAGAGGCCAUCGUCUUUUCACAAAUAAUUACGCUGUGGGACUGAAGAUAUCAAAUUUAACAGAUUGGGACAUCACAACCCCUUUUCUGAAGAUACAUCACGUUACCGACUGGAUACAGACAACUGAGUGUGUAAAACCUGUGUUAUGGAAAUUUUGAACUACGGUGCAUUUGAGAAAUAUCUGCUUUUCUAUUGCCUGGUAUGUAACUAGUUUCUUUGAUUGUGAUACACGUCUGUAUAAAUAUCAGAGCAUCACUAGGUACUCUGACCAUGUUCCUUUCAACUGUAAUAAAUAUGAAAUGUAUAUGUAUCUACUUCAGAGACUCCUCAGAUGAUUAUCCUGUAAGCGGUUGACGUGUCUCUCUAUUUGCAAAUAAACUAUUAAUUGUGCCAAGAGAAUUUUGUCUCUGUACUUACUCCUUUAAAUGUUCUGAUCAAUGAAAUUGCCAUCACACCUGUCACUAGUGCAUUCAUUGGAGUUGAGUGUUGUGUUACGUCAGGAUAUUUUGAGUCGUUAUUAUGAUGUUGAUGCAUGACUCAUGAUAUGGACAAGGGGGG
ensembl:lncRNA